rnacentral:rRNA from 1 species
CUACGGGUGGCAGCAGUGAGGAAUAUUGCGCAAUGGGGGAAACCCUGACGCAGCGACGCCGCGUGAGUGAGGAAGGCCCUCGGGUCGUAAAGCUCUGUCAAGAGGAAAGAAGUGCAUAGUAGUUAAUACCUGCUAUGUUUGACGGUACCUCUAAAGGAAGCACCGGCUAACUCCGUGCCAGCAGCCGCGGUAAUACGGAGGGUGCAAGCGUUGUUCGGAAUCACUGGGCGUAAAGGGCGCGCAGGCGGCCUGGUAAGUCAGAUGUGAAAGCCCACGGCUUAACCGUGGAAGUGCAUUUGAAACUGUCAGGCUUGAGUACCAGAGGGGAAAGUGGAAUUCCCGGUGUAGAGGUGAAAUUCGUAGAUAUCGGGAGGAAUACCGGUGGCGAAGGCGACUUUCUGGCUGAGUACUGACGCUGAGGCGCGAAAGCGUGGGGAGCAAACAGGAUUAGAUACCCGGGUAGUC